AAUAUCUAUAGACAUGACAAUGUACAAAUUGCGACAUAAAUCGAUCAGAAACUAGAAAAUCUAUGUUGGUCUUAUAGUUCCAGCUUGCCAAAAGAUACAGGCUUUGGGUGGGAACACAAAAAAAUCCAGACCUGGCCAUAACAGGGUUUCCAGAAAGUAUGGGAACUAGCAAAGAGUAGGCCUCUGGAUGGGAGUGGGUCCAACAUGAGAUGAAACAAUGCCUUAAUGGAAGCUGAAAUGACCCUUGGGCUUUUCUGGUGAAUACCACAACACCAUUUCCUGCCACCUGGGAAUAAGACAGAAUAAUUGUUGGCAGCAAGAACUGAGUAUGGGGAGAGGCUGAGAAUGAAGGUAAAGUUGGAGAAAGCAUGACAGUAUCCGUUUCUCAGGAGAGAGUGAUCACGUGAUCACGAAGCUUGCUACACACAGGGUGUUUGAGAACACAAACGGCCCUGCUCCCCCCAGCCAAGAAGAUGGUUUCCCUGCACUCCAGACACAGCUUUCAAUUGGGGUGCAUUUCCCCUACUCUAUUAGGACAUUCUGUAACAGAGAUUUACAGGUCAGAAAGAACUUUUUGUUACUUAUAAUAAUAAAAGUCCUAAAAUAGUUACAUUUGGGUUGGUCCCAAAUCCAGUCGA